rnacentral:rRNA from 1 species
GGAAUUCGAUUAGAGUUUGAUCCUGGCUCACCUUGAACGCUGGCGGCAUGCUUUACACAUGCAAGUCGAACGGCAGCGCGGGGCAACCUGGCGGCGAGUGGCGAACGGGCGAGUAAUACAUCGGAACNNNNNNNNNNNNNGGGGAUAACGUAGCGAAAGUUACGCUAAUACCGCAUACGUUCUACGGAAGAAAGUGGGGGAUCUUNNNNNNNCAUGCUUUUGGAGCGGCCGAUGUCUGAUUAGCUAGUUGGUGAGGUAAAGGCUCACCAAGGCGACGAUCAGUAGCUGGUCUGAGAGGACGACCAGCCACACUGGGACUGAGACACGGCCCAGACUCCUACGGGAGGCAGCAGUGGGGAAUUUUGGACAAUGGNNNCAAGCCUGAUCCAGCAAUGCCGCGUGAGUGAAGAAGGCCUUCGGGUUGUAAAGCUCUUUUGUCAGGGAAGAAACGGCUGGGGCUAAUAUCCCCGGCUAAUGACGGUACCUGAAGAAUAAGCACCGGCUAACUACGUGCCAGCAGCCGCGGUAAUACGUAGGGUGCAAGCGUUAAUCGGAAUUACUGGGCGUAAAGCGUGCGCAGGCGGUUUUGUAAGUCUGACGUGAAAUCCCCGGGCUCAACCUGGGAAUUGCGUUGGAGACUGCAAGGCUGGAGUCUGGCAGAGGGGGGUAGAAUUCCACGUGUAGCAGUGAAAUGCGUAGAGAUGUGGAGGAACACCGAUGGCGAAGGCAGCCCCCUGGGUCAAGACUGACGCUCAUGC